rnacentral:rRNA from 1 species
UACAGAGGUCCCAAGCGUUGUUCGGAUUCAUUGGGCGUAAAGGGUGCGUAGGCGGCGCGGUAAGUCGGGUGUGAAAUUUCGGAGCUUAAUUCCGAAACUGCAUUCGAUACUGGCGUGCUUGAGGACUGGAGAGGGAUGCGGAAUUCCAGGUGUAGCGGUGAAAUGCGUAGAUAUCUGGAGGAACACCGGUGGCGAAGGCGGCAUCCUGGACCGGCAUUGACGCUGAGGCGCGAAAGCCAGGGGAGCAAACGGG